rnacentral:lncRNA from 1 species
GCCAGCAGUCCUGCUUUUUGAUUUGUGAAAUUACUUAUCUUCUUUGAAGUGGAAGAGAUAGUACACUAAAGUUCCAUGGUGGCAAAACUGCUUGUGGUUCAUCCAACUGCUGUCACAUUUCACAAUGGCAAGAUCAGUCAGAGAAGAGCUCAGCAGAGCUGAAUGCUUACAGAAGACAAACAGCUAUUCAGCGCAUCUGCCAAUGACUUCAGUGUUUCUCUACAAGGCUACCUGAAGUGCAGAAUGUCAUCUCAACAGUAUGCAUAUGUUAGAAGAUAUAGGCAGGUAGGAAGUUUUGUGGGUUUUUUUUUUUUUUUCCUCCCAUGAAGUCACUAUCGAAGAAGUUUAUUCUCCUCUUAAAAUACCUGACAAUCUUUCAUUUUUCCUCAUCUUCAGGAUUUCAUUCUUUAGUGUUCUAGAUGGAAAAAGUUUUAAAGGACCUGACUCAGAGUUUGUCUUCCUCUUCCUACAAAGUUAAAGGAGAUCAUUCUCGAAUAAUAAAACUGUAAAUUCACAUUUGGAUAUAGCA